AAAACGUAAAAAAUUGUUGCGUCGCCAUUUUAGCUUUACGAGCGUUCGGCGAUAUAUGUUCGUAACAUUGUUAAAAGGCCGAAAGACAACAAUACGACAUAGAUUAAUCGUGACAGCAGUUAACGAAAUCCAAGUUUAAUGUCCAAAAUAUAUCAAAUUUUUAAUUGAUCACCUACCUCUCGGAAAGCAAUGGCAAACGACUAAGAGUGCCAAGAUAGCCAUUACAGAGCACAUAGAGCAUUCAAGUGGAAACAAUCUUCAAUCAUAAAGGACCGACUAAAGAGAGAGAGAGAGAAAGGGAGAGAAACAAACUAUUCAUGUACUGAGAAAUCGCUCCUUGAGAAUUUCCAUCUGGGCACAUAUGUGAAAGACAAUCAGACCCAAAAAGUUGUCGAUCCCCGUAUAAGAGAACGCGGCCAUUACGACGGCUGCAGCUUGCGCAACGAAAGCGAUUUCAAAAUAUGGGCUCUGGGUCGU